CUCUUCAUGACCCCCUGGACCAGAGCACGCCAGGCACUCCUGUCUUCCACUGCCUCCCGCAGUUUGGUCAGACUCAUGUUUGUAGCUUCGAGAACACUGUCCAGCCAUCUCGUCCUCUGUCAUCCCCUUCUCCUUGUGCCCUCCAUCUUUCCCAACAUCAGGGUCUUUUCCAGGGAGUCUUCUCUUCUCAUGAGGUGGCCAAAGUCUUGGAGCCUCAUCUUCAG